CCUACGAAAAAAGCCAGGCGCUCGCUCCCUCGUGCCCUCGAUGCACUUGCCAACCGCCGCUCUCCUCUGCCCCAACCCCAACCCCGCCGCCGCCUCAAUCCUACCGCCGCCGGCCUCCUCCUCCUCUAGCGCCUCCGCUCCAGCCCCUCACCUUCUCAGCCUGGAUCCGCACGGCAAGGUGUGGGGCUAUGGGAGAGAAGGCUCCAUAUCGCGCGACAAGGUGAGGGGGCGCCCAGAUCCGCAGCGGCACCACCGCGCCCUCGUCCACCUGGCCCUCGAGGUCGGCCAUGGAGGUCUGGCCUGACCAAUGGAUGGAUGGGGAUGAAACCCUAGCCCAACACCCACCCAUGGAUGGAUGGGGAUGGGGCGACGACGGCGGUGGCGGCGGCGGCCUUCUCUCGGUGCUUGCUGAUGUGGUGGACAUCGACGUCGGUGACGGGUUGCAACACGUAGACAUCAAAGGCUGCGGGUGUGACGGAGGAGCACCAUGGCGGGCGUGCAGACCAUGGCUCGCUAUGGAAGGCCCUUCCCUUCCCUCUCUCUGUUCGAGCCAUGCUCAGGCAGUCUUUUCUCUUCUCUUCCCGCAAAAAAAGUCUUUUCUCUUCAUGAUCUGAACAUGUUGGAGGCCAUUAUUUCUCCACUGCCGGAGUCUAGCCUCCCUCCGUGGGAUGCCAUGGAGAUGAAACUCCCCUCGACAAAAGAAUUCAAGGGCAUGUGGGAGAGAGAGGAGGUCCAUGGAGAAGAAGCUCUGCUCCAACCCUCCCUGCCUCCUAAUACAAGAUGUCUUUUUUGUGUGUGCUUGUAUUGCAGCAGCCAUGUGCGUAUCAAAAAAGGGUCCAGUUUGCAGCAGUCACAUGAUACGGACAUGUUUUUUCAUCACAAUUGGAUUUUUGGAUUUACUAGGCUAAUUGGUGGUGGUUGCUGUUGUUGUUGUUUUGGCAGCAGCAGCAGCAGCAGGCAGAGUGACGAUGUUGGCUAUGUGCAGGCCAUGGAGGCUUUGAUGAGCACGAGGGGAAGGCCGCUGCUUCAACCCCGUUAAGCUUACGUGUGGGAUUUGCUUCGGAAGUUGUCCACGUGAGUCAAUGGGUGCUGCUUCAUGUGGGCAUCCUUUCUGUGGUGUAUGUUGGAGAGGUUACACACCUGAUGAUGUUUACGGCAAGGCACAGGAACAAGCAGAGGCCGAGGAAGUGCGGGCACGUGCUGCUGGCCUUGGCAGGUGUAGGAACCGUGCGAGGAAGGUUCAGCGCGCUGCACAAGUCGGGCCACGCCCGGAGCGCCGUGCCAAUGCAUGUGUGCGUGGUCGGUGGGUUAGCCAAGAUCUGCAUUCUGCGACUUCAUCUUCACCAUGGACACAAGCAAGGACUGAUUGGUGGUUCUUGGUAGCGGUGCCGAGUAUCGGCGGAUCGAAGUGGUCGAGGUCGCGGUUAAUCCACCAGGACGAGACAUGCAUCUUGGAGCUAGCGCAGAGGGGGGAAGAAGCAGGUUGGUAUGGCCCGGUAUGUCCAGUUCUUCCCAUGAAGGUCACAUGCCUAACUUCGUGCUAGACAUUGCUAACUUAGCCACUUGAUGUUAAACUCUGUAUGUGUAACUAGACCUAGCACCACUCAAUGAUUCGAUGUGUUAAAUUAAAGUACCAAUUAGGCAUGUUCACCCCUUUGUACAUGUGUGUUGUUGCAUUGCUUACUAUAUCUUGUUGUAUAUGAUGGCCCAUUGUCAGCUAUACAACUUUUGAAUUCUGUCAAGUUCAGUUCAGAUUUGAUUUUUUUUUCACCUCUUUUUGCAUGGACAAUGUGUCUGGUGUUUAAAUAAUGGCUACUUGAAAUUCAUAGGCAUUGUGAGUGACAAGACAACUGCUGACACAGAGUUCUACCUCUCUGACUGAAACAGGAACUUUUGCGCAAAGAAAACACACACAGGGCAGGAACAUGACUACUCUUCCCCUUCCAAGUUUUUGAUCGAUCGAACUCUUAACUCAUAACCCAUGAGGUGGUGACCAAGCAAGAAAGGAAGGAACUUUCGCGCAAAGAAAACACACACAGGGCAGGAACAUGACUACUCUCGCCCUUCCAUGUUUCGGAUCGAUCGAACUCUUCGGUGACCAAAAAAAUGAGAAAAGGGCAGGUCGUCGAUGUACAGACCACAGGCGCUCGGACGCACGGCCGGCAUCAUGGUCGUCAUAGCUCAUAACCCAUGAGGGGUGAUGAAGCAAGAAAGGAAGAACUCCCGGGCGACGAGCAACGGCCUUGUACUUCACCCGGACAAGCACCAUUGGGUCGACGUUGCAGCCAGCGGCUGCGGCCAUGCAUUCGGAAAUUCCAUGGCAUGAUGCAUAUAAAUUGGAUCUGUAGAUUCAUGAAGCUCCAAGCGAGCAAGAAGUUUCAGUCCACCUUUACUCAUGGCCUCCCCUUCUCGUCUGGUGGACGGCCUUGGCAAUCUGAACAAGCUUUACGCGACUGGCACUCUUGUUGAUCCCAUAUGAGUCAUUAAGCUGUUUUGUGCGCAAGGUUGAGAUAGUUGGGGCCUGUAACCGUGUUGUGGUGAGCUUCUUCCUUUCUUUGAGGGUUUCCCAAUCCCUUCUCAAUCCAAAGUUCUGGCUCAGGCUGUGACUACAACUUUUAUUGACCUAGAUCUGAUGGUGAUAGUUAGGAAUAAUUCAAAAAAAAUUCAGGGUUUAUUGAACUGCACCACACAUAAGUAAUAGAUAUUAACCUAUGUUAACACUAAUAUUUGUAAUUUGUUACAUCAUGAUGUUUAAUAUUGCCAGGAGUUUUUUCUUGAAAAGAAAGUAUAAAAUUUACACCUCUUGCACCACUGAUAGAGAUGUGCCUUGCUGUAAUAAGAUGAUGGGCUCAUGACUUAUCUUUCUUGGACAAAACAAGGAAUCUAGCCAUAACUAUGUACAUAUCUGGAUACUCAUCUUUUUUUUCUCAAGCUAUCAUGUCAAGUGUAGAGGAAAUGAUGAUAUACAGAAUAAGGAGAAAGACAUGCUGACAGUACAUCUGGUUCCAAUUUUCAUCACACUAUGUGCUAAUAUAUGCUCUCAAUGAUAAUAUGCCACCUUGCGCUAUCUACACACGUAACAUGUUCUUCUUUUGUAUAAUUAUACACUAUAAAAUUAUUGUAUGCUUACCUUUGGUGGAAUUUCAGAGUUGAAAGGACAUCAAGUUUCCACGCGAGGGGAGUUAAUUUUGGUUGUCCUUUGUUUCAUAAAAAAUGUUGGUAGCAUUUAGAACUAUGUUUAUUUGGUGUAACCGGAAUUAAUCACUGGUUAAACAUAUAGAAGGAGUCUCUCUAUUGGAAGGGGAAAAUAUAAUAUUAGACACCAUUUAUUUUUCUGCUCGCUGAUGCAUGCAAUGUAUCAUUUGGCCUUGAUUUAAUGUACUGCACUUUUCUUCAUUGCUCUCUAUUCUUUAAUAAGUCAGACUCAUAUAGAACCUGAUAUUUCUUAGUGAUGUCUUCAGAUCCCAUGAAUGUCAUUUUGCACCAAAGGUUUGUAACCAUUGGGGAAUGUUUUCUUGCUCUGAUGUAUCAAGUUGCCAUGGGGGUGAUCUAGAGGUCUCUUCCUUGUCCAAAGUAUGUCGUACCUAAUCAAGACAUGUUCAUUUAAUUUACCCGUCAUGUAAAUGACACAACAUGAUUCACUUGUGUAUAGUGUAAAAAUAUAUUUAUUUAUGGCACACAGGUGUUCAAAUUAUAGUUGUGAAACGUGUAUAGUGUAAAAAUAUAAUUAUUAAGGGAAGUGACGUCACAGUGGUCGUGCCUCGUCUUCUCCGA